GCUGGGCAUGGUGGCACAUGCCUGUAAUCCCAGCUACUUGGGAGGCUGAGGCAGGAGAAUGGCUUGAACCCAGGAGGUGGAGGUUGCAGUGAGCUGAGAUCACGCCACUGCACUCUAGCCUGGGUGACAGAGUGAGAUUCUGUCUCAA
rnacentral:sRNA from 1 species